CUCACCUCAGCCUCCCAAAGGCAAGCUUCUAGAACAGCACAUGGACAGAAGAUAUUGAUGUUGUGGAUUGGCUGUAACUCUGCUCUGGGAUCCAGGCUGAAGGAGCAGGCUCUAUCUGGAACAUUACUAGUCUCCAGGCAGAAGAAAAAGAGACAAUGGAAUGGAUGAUUGAAUGGAUGAAUGAACUCCACAGGAAGAUGAGGAAAGCCUUUAUGGAUGGAGUGAGCUUGCAGCAGAGUCUCAAAGGGUGAGUAGAGUUUUCCAGGUAGGGAAGUGUGUGGGUGAGUAGUCCAGAUCGAGUCAAAGGUAUGGGAGCAAGGAACGGCCUGGUGCAUUCCAGAAGUGUUGAUAAUGUCACUGGCUGACUCGGAGGGUGUGAAGGGGAGGAGAAGGAGGGAAGGCUAGAGAGGGAAGGUAGAAAGGAAGUGGAGGCGAAAAAAGAUGCUGAAGGGCCUCCUGUACCUCCAGGAAGAGUUUGAAUGUUAUCAUUUGGGCAAUGGGAAGCUAUUCCUGGGUCUUCACAAGGGAAUCAGUUGGUGAGAACUGCUGUUUAGAAAGACAGCCCUGGCAGCAACUCAAGCGCUGGGAGAGGACAGAACCACCAGGGAAGAGGGUAUGGGGAAGAAGAGCAGCAGGCUGAGGACAGGCCCAGGACUGAAGAAUCAGGCACAGGAAGAAGAGUCCAUGGGGCAGGCUGUGAAAUGGACAAAGGAAAACCAGAGGUGCUUCCCAAGCAGGGGGCCUGGCCACCAGAGUCCCAAGCUACCAAGAUGUCAAGUAAAGAAGAACUGAAAGCCAACUGCUGGAUGCAGCAGUGAGUGGGGGUCACAGUGGCCUUUGCCAGAACUGUUCCAGUGGAGGAGUAGAGGAAGAGAGAAAACCACAGGAGCAGGCAUCGCAAGCUCAUGCUCCACCCACACGUCCCCUUUCUCCUUUAGUCCUGUGACCCAUGUGCUUGCUCUCUUUCUCUCUCAAAGGAGAUCCAAAUUUAAAAAUAUGGAGCCAAGGGAAUCAGUUCCUUUGCGAACACACUGAACGUUAGUUUUCUUCUUCUCUUUUGCAAAAACUUCUUAUUUCACAAAAUACUCAAACAAAUAGACAAAGUACAGUGAAGUCCAGGUAGAUAUCAUCCACCUUCAGCAAUGAUCAAUCCAUGGCCAAUCUUUCAUCUCAACACUCGUAUCCUCAUUCUUGUGGAGCAAAUGCCAGACAUUCUUUCAUCCAUCAGUAUGUCAAUAUGUAUCUCUGAAAUAGAAGGACUUUUUAUAAAACAUAAUCAUAAUAUAAUUAAUAUU
rnacentral:lncRNA from 1 species